rnacentral:rRNA from 1 species
AGGCGAACGGGUGAGUAACACGUGGGCAAUCUGCCCUUCACUCUGGAACAAGCCCUGGAAACGGGGUCUAAUACCGGAUAACACUUCCCUCCUCCUGGGGGGUGGUUAAAAGCUCCGGCGGUGAAGGAUGAGCCCGCGGCCUAUCAGCUUGUUGGUGAGGUAAUGGCUCACCAAGGCGACGACGGGUAGCCGGCCUGAGAGGGCGACCGGCCACACUGGGACUGAGACACGGCCCAGACUCCUACGGGAGGCAGCAGUGGGGAAUAUUGCACAAUGGGCGAAAGCCUGAUGCAGCGACGCCGCGUGAGGGAUGACGGCCUUCGGGUUGUAAACCUCUUUCAGCAGGGAAGAAGCGAAAGUGACGGUACCUGCAGAAGAAGCGCCGGCUAACUACGUGCCAGCAGCCGCGGUAAUACGUAGGGCGCAAGCGUUGUCCGGAAUUAUUGGGCGUAAAGAGCUCGUAGGCGGCUUGUCACGUCGGUUGUGAAAGCCCGGGGCUUAACCCCGGGUCUGCAGUCGAUACGGGCAGGCUAGAGUGUGGUAGGGGAGAUCGGAAUUCCUGGUGUAGCGGUGAAAUGCGCAGAUAUCAGGAGGAACACCGGUGGCGAAGGCGGAUCUCUGGGCCAUUACUGACGCUGAGGAGCGAAAGCGUGGGGAGCGAACAGGAUUAGAUACCCUGGUAGUCCACGCCGUAAACGGUGGGAACUAGGUGUUGGCGACAUUCCACGUCGUCGGUGCCGCAGCUAACGCAUUAAGU